rnacentral:rRNA from 1 species
GACGAACGCUGGCGGCGUGCUUAACACAUGCAAGUCGAACGGAAAGGCCCUGCUUUUGUUGGGUGCUCGAGUGGCGAACGGGUGAGUAACACGUGAGUAACCUGCCCUUGACUUUGGGAUAACUUCAGGAAACUGGGGCUAAUACCGGAUAGGAGCUCCUGCUGCAUGGUGGGGGUUGGAAAGUUUCGGCGGUUGGGGAUGGACUCGCGGCUUAUCAGCUUGUUGGUGGGGUAGUGGCUUACCAAGGCUUUGACGGGUAGCCGGCCUGAGAGGGUGACCGGCCACAUUGGGACUGAGAUACGGCCCAGACUACUACGGGAGGCAGCAGUGGGGAAUAUUGCACAAUGGGCGGAAGCCUGAUGCAGCAACGCCGCGUGCGGGAUGACGGCCUUCGGGUUGUAAACCGCUUUCGCCUGUGACGAAGCGUGAGUGACGGUAAUGGGUAAAGAAGCACCGGCUAACUACGUG